rnacentral:rRNA from 1 species
CUACGGGAGGCAGCAGUGAGGAAUAUUGGGCAAUGCCCGAAAGGGUGACCCAGCAACGCCGCGUGGAGGAUGAAGGUCGUAAGAUUGUAAACUCCUGUUAGCGGGGACGAAUAACACCGAUCGACUCGGUGCUUGACUGUACCCUCAGAGAAAGCCCCGGCUAACUACGUGCCAGCAGCCGCGGUAAUACGUAGGGGGCAAGCGUUGUCCGGAUUCACUGGGUGUAAAGGGCGCGCAGGCGGGUUAGCAAGUCAGAGGUGAAAUCCUACAGCUUAACUGUAGCACUGCCUUUGAAACUGUUAAUCUUGAGUGCGGAAGAGAGAGACGGAAUUCCAGGUGUAGCGGUGAAAUGCGUAGAUAUCUGGAAGAACACCAGUUGCGAAGGCGGUCUCUUGGUCCGUUACUGACGCUCAGGCGCGAAAGCGUGGGGAGCAAACAGGAUUAGAAACCCUGGUAGUCC